GCCUGGGUGGCUUAGUCAGUUAAGUGUCUGACUUUGGCUCAGGUCCCGAUCUCACGGCUGGUGAGUUCAAGCCCCACGUCAGGCU
rfam:Felis catus isolate Cinnamon breed Abyssinian chromosome C1, whole genome shotgun sequence.